rnacentral:lncRNA from 1 species
CCGGCGGCUGCGGGGCCUCUGGGUUGCUUUCCCUCUCGCUCCCGAGUGCCGCGAGUUCCAGGCGGUCCCCGGGAUCGCCAGCGGCACAGGGCCCCAGCCCUUCGCCCGCGCAUCGGGAUGGGGGUCCUAGCCGGUGGGAGCUGCCUGUCCCUCGAGCGCCAGCUACCCGCGUUGUCCAGCGCUCCGGCCUCGGCCCGGCCCUCCUGCCUCCUGGCUGUUAGGUUCUGAAUGUUCCGGAAAUGCCACGUGACCGCGAGGGCGCUUGGGCUUGGGCUGGACAGGCCGGGGAUCUCACCGCGGCGGGCCCGGCUGUCCCGCUUGGGCGUCCUCAGUGGAACCGCACACCCUUUCUCAGCGCGCCGGUCGUUUGGUCCUGUAGGGCCGAGGGGAAUUCGUGCGGUGUUGAGCACGCGGGAAGCACUUAACGAAAGGGAGCUGCCCCUCAGCCCUCGUGAGUCCGAUGUAAAGGAGUGAAGGAGACGAAGAACUGAAUCAGUAGUUGACCGCCUGUGAGCUGGCGAGCUGUGCCCUGGUAGGGCCUUAAAUCCCAGCCCCAGAAGUCGGAGGCAGGGCAGGCACCCCAAAGCGUGGAAGAGAUGCACCUGCGGAGUGAAAAUGCUGCUAUUGCUUCUAGGGUCAGCCUUGGUUCCUGGAACAAAGGAGCCGCAUGACUCGGGUCUGGCGAUGAUGUUGGGCUCUGCAGUGUCCUCAUCCUUCCCCCUCUCUGGGUAAUGAUAUCUUCCCAGGGUUUAAAGUGUGUCCUCUCUGCCAGUAGCUUGUCUCCACAGCCUCAUCUUUAAUUCCACCUGCCCCACCCAUUUUGGACACUGCAGCCAAGUUGCAGCAGAUCCGCAAACCUGGUAAUCCCUCACUUGAAAGUGCUGGAGGCUUUAGGAUGGGGUUCAGGGCCUGUGCAAUCUAACCGCCUGCUUUUUUUUUUUUUUUUUUUUUUUUUUUUUUGAGACGGAGUCGAAUCUCACUGUCUCCCAGGCUGGAGUGCAGUGGCGCCAUCACAGCUCAUUGCAGCCUCAACCUCCUGAGCUCAAGCCAUCCUCCCACCUCAGCCUCCCAAGUACCUGGGGUUACAGGCAAGCACCAUUACGCCUAGCUAAUUUUUCUGGGUUUUUUUUUUUUGUUUUUUUUUUUGUAUAGAUGGAUUUCGCCAUGUUGUCCAGGCUGGUCUUAAACUCUCGCUCUGUCUCCCAGGCUAGAGUGCAGUGGGGCAAUCUCGGCUCCCUGCAACCUCUGCCUCCUGGGUUCAAGCAAUUAUCCUGCCUCAGCCUACCAGUUAGCUGGGAUUACAUGUGUGCGCCACCGCGCCCGGCUAAUUUUUUUAUUUUUAGUAGAGGCGGGGUUUCACCAUGUUGACCAGGCUGGUCUCAAGACUACUGACCUCAAGUGAUCCCCCCCCCCCCCCGCCUCGGCCUCCCAAAGUGCUGGGAUUACAGACGUGAGCCACCGUGCCCAGCGGUUUUGCAUUUUCAAUUGUGGGGCACGGUGAGAAAAGACUUGAAGAAAGCAAGGGAGUGAGAUCCAUGGAAAUGUAGGGGGGAACCUUGCAGGCCUAUGGAACAGCCAGUGCAAAGGGCCUGGGGUGGGAGCUGCCUCAGGGUAGCCAGGAUGGCAGGAGGCACAGCUGCCGAGAGGAAGCAGGGGCCAGGUCCUGCAAGGUUAGAGGCCAUUGCUACUCCUGAACACAUUGGCAGGUUUUGAGCAGAGAAGUGACAUGAUUUUAGUUUUCUCAGGAUCCCUCUGGCUGCUGUGUGGAGGAAGAGGGGAGGGUGAGAGCAGGGAUACCUCUUAGGAGGCUGUGGUAGUAAUCCCAGGGAGCCAGGAUGGGAGCAGAGGAGGGGACAGGAAUUGGAUUCUGGAUGCAUUUUGGAGGGAGCAUGAAGGAAAGCGGGGUCAAAGGUUCCUCUGAGGCCUUGGCUGCCUCUCUUAUUCAUCUACAUCCAUUCUGUCAAGGACACCUUUCAUUUCUUCUUGGCACUGUCUCAAGGCCACCACGCUGCUGCCCACCUGACCAGCAGUGGCCUUUCCAGGCCUUCCAUCUUCUCCCCAGCAGCUUAUCUCUGCGUAGCCAGGUCCCAUUUCCCACACACCUUUUUUUAAAGUGUGUUGCACUGCUCUGGGUGCAGGACUGUAGCAGUGACCAGGGCAGCUCCAGAUGAAGCUUCUGCUCACAGGAACCUUUUCUACUGAAACAGAUGAUACCUAAACUCUCAGCUGUGUGACUUUAAGCAACUUGCACAACCUCUCUGUACUUCAGUUGCCUCCAUCUUCAAAUGGGGAUUAAAAAGUGUUGACAUCAUAGUGGUUGUGAGGAUUACAUGAUUUGAUAGUUUAUAAAGCACUUAGAACUUGUGAAGAAGAGUGCCUGGG